rnacentral:lncRNA from 1 species
CGCAAGUGGGAGCCCUGCUCAGAUGAGCCAGCCUCCCCAGCUCUGAAGGCAGGCAGCCAGGCAGCCAGCCUCUGAGUUUCCUGUGGUGGCCUCCGAGCUGGUGACCUGUAUGGCAGACUGAGGACCUGGGAUGCAUCCAGCUGCCAGCUCGACUUCCUCUGGACUGCUCCCUACCCUGAGCCCCGCAGACUCGGAGCUCAAGUGGAUGACAUCUUGUGCUCCCAGAGGUACAGGAGGCCGGAAAUGAGAGCACAGGCAGCCAGGUCCCUGCAAGGAGCAGCUCAAGUAGAAUCGGGGAAGGUCCCCGAAUGGGAAAUGAAUCAUGAAAACCACGAAGACCUCCAGCAAGCAGACAUGCCUGGGUUCCAGUGAGCUGCCCAUUCUGCUGCCCUCCGAGUUCACAGGUGAGGGAGAGUCAGCUCCGAGAGGAUACUUGGGCAACUACAGGGAUGCGACGAAGCAGGAUCUGAACCCAGACCCCUUGAUCUCCAGCCCUCAGGCAGCUGUUUCUAUUUGUGGGACCCAUGAGGAACACAGGAGCCACUGAAGGAGGGGUUCAUCUGAAGGCGAGUGAGUCAGCCUGUGCUAGAAGACUGGGAUGGGGCUAGCCAAGUUCACCUGUAACUCCAGCACUUGGGAGGCGGAGGCAAGAGAAGCCCUGUGAAUCUGCGGCCAGUCUGGGCUACGUGGUGAGGCUUUCCCAGCUACACAUGGGAACUAACAACAGCGGCCAUCAUGGGUUAUUCUGAGGAGUAGUUGGCUCAUCACAAGGCACUGAACAUCAUCUAGCCAUAGUGGAUACAGCCAAGCCACAGAGGUGCCACAGUUCUAGAAAUGGUGGCUCUUGGAGGAGCUGGGUCAGGAUUUCAGCCUGGGCAUUCCGAUUCCAGAGGCUGCUGAUCUUCUGGACACCCACCACCACCGCGCCUCCCUGCGGCUCCCACUAGAACAAGGACAGCAGAGGAGACUGAAGGAGAGGAGACACUGGGGUCAAGGAUGCAGAUUUUCCAUCCAGCUCAAAAGAAGUGAGCCUGGGAUAACUGGCGUCCAUGGGAGGUGUUUGGUCCUUCACCAACUCUUAACGGACACAUUUUAAAUAUUGGAUAAUACAUUUUUAAAGCACAGCAGGUUCCCAUAACCCAGCAAGAGCAACUCCAGAGAGGCCCAAGGAAGUUCUGGAAUAAAAUCAUAGCUAACCUCCAUGUCUAUCGGUAGGGGAAUGGCUAAAUAA